rnacentral:rRNA from 1 species
GACGGAGGAGGCAAGCGUUAUCCGGAAUUAUUGGGCGUAAAGCGGCCGCAGGUGGCGAUUCAAGUCUCCUGUCAAAGGUCGGGGCUUAACCCCGGGAAGGCAGUGGAAACUGAAUAGCUAGAGUGCGGUAGGGGCAGAGUGAAUUCCCGGUGUAGCGGUGAAAUGCGUAGAGAUCGGGAAGAACACCAGUGGCGAAAGCGCUCUGCUGGGCCUGCACUGACUCUGAGGGACGAAAGCUAGGGGAGCGAAAGGG